rnacentral:rRNA from 1 species
UGGGGAAUAUUGCACAAUGGGCGCAAGCCUGAUGCAGCCAUGCCGCGUGUAUGAAGAAGGCCUUCGGGUUGUAAAGUACUUUCAGUCGGGAGGAAGGUGGUAAGGUUAAUAACCUUAUCAAUUGACGUUACCGACAGAAGAAGCACCGGCUAACUCCGUGCCAGCAGCCGCGGUAAUACGGAGGGUGCAAGCGUUAAUCGGAAUUACUGGGCGUAAAGCGCACGCAGGCGGUUUGUUAAGUCAGAUGUGAAAUCCUCGGGCUCAACCUGGGAACUGCAUCUGAUACUGGCAAGCUUGAGUCUCGUAGAGGGGGGUAGAAUUCCAUGUGUAGCGGUGAAAUGCGUAGAGAUCUGGAGGAAUACCGGUGGCGAAGGCGGCCCCCUGGACGAAGACUGACGCUCAGGUGCGAAAGCGUGGGGAGCAAACAGG